AUUGAACGCUGGCGGCAGGCCUAACACAUGCAAGUCGAACGGGGAAAGCUUUCGGGUGAGUACUAGUGGCGCACGGGUGAGUAACGCGUGGAUAAUCUGCCUUAGAGUGGGGGAUAACUAGUCGAAAGAUUAGCUAAUACCGCAUAAGACCACAAGAACUGCGGUUCAAGGGGUCAAAGGUUUUUCGCUCUAAGAUGAGUCCGCGUAAGAUUAGCUAGUUGGUAGGGUAACGGCCUACCAAGGCGACGAUCUUUAACUGGUCUGAGAGGAUGAUCAGUCACACUGGAACUGAGACACGGUCCAGACUCCUACGGGAGGCAGCAGUAGGGAAUAUUGCACAAUGGAGGAAACUCUGAUGCAGCGACGCCGCGUGAGUGAUGAAGGCCUUCGGGUCGUAAAGCUCUGUCGCAGGGGAAUAACACAAUGAAGGUACCCUGUAAGAAAGGAUCGGCUAACUUCGUGCCAGCCGCCGCGGUAAAAC
rnacentral:rRNA from 1 species